AGCGUUGAAACACCGGUUUUCAUAUGAUCACCGAAGUUAAGCAAUAUCGAUCCUGAUCAGUACCUAGAUGGGCGACCGCUUGGGAAUAUCAGAUGUUGUAA